GUCAGGAUGUCCGAGCGGUCUAAGGCGCUGCGUUCAGGUCGCAGUCUCCCCUGGAGGCGUGGGUUCGAAUCCCCACUUCUGACA
rnacentral:tRNA from 1 species